rnacentral:sRNA from 4 species
CCCUAGCCCCGAUAGAAGCGGAAAUUCUUUUGCGUCCGCCGCCGCGGACAUAAAAAGAUUGAAGCGGAUUGCUUCGCCAGUU